UAUCAGCUGGCGAAGCUGCGGAUGCUGGAAUUCUACUACGACUUUCUCGACAAGUACUUUGACAAAAGAGAUUUCGAGCUGAUCCAGAUGGACACAGACAGCAACUACAUGGCAAUCUCCGGCGAGCGGCUCGAAGACAUUGUCCGGCCAGAGUUGAAAGCAGAAUUCGAGGCGGAAAAAAAUCAGUGGCUGCUUGGGACAAGUGGAGCGGGCGCAUCCCAGGCCUCUUCAAGCUUGAGUUUGAGGGCCGCCGGAUGAUCGCACUCUGCUCGAAGUGUUAUUACGCCGACGCUGGAGAGAGGGGCGAAAGAAAGAAGUUUAGCACGAAGGGGAUGUCGAAAACGCAGAACGAGCUGACGUGGCAGCGGUUCGAGGAAGCGCUGGAAGGCUGCAAGGAUAUGGCGACCAACAGAGGUUUCAGGAUGCGGGACGGGCACAUGGUCACUUACGAGCAGCAGAAGCUGGGGCUGAGCGUUUAUUACGACAAGCGGUGGGUGCUGCCCAACGGGAUACAUACCGAACCAAUCGAAUUCCACCUUUAGUCCACGUCAGUCGGAGGAAGAGUAGUGUUUGGAGGGACAACGAGAAGCUCUUCACGCAGGAAGCCGCGCUUGGGACCGUCGCGCAGAUAGUAGAGAACGGGUUGAUCCGGUUUG